rnacentral:rRNA from 1 species
AGGGAUUGCCUCAGUAACGGCGAGUGAAGCGGCAAGAGCUCAAAUUUGAAAGCUGGCUCCUUCGGGGUCCGCAUUGUAAUUUGCAGAGGAUGCUUCGGGCAUGGCCCCCGUCUAAGUGCCCUGGAAGGGGCCGUCAUAGAGGGUGAGAAUCCCGUCUGGGACGGGGUGUCCGUGUCCGUGUGAAGCUCCUUCGACGAGUCGAGUUGUUCUGGGAAUGCAGCUCUAAAUGGGUGGUAAAUUUCAUCUAAAGCUAAAUACUGGCCGGAGACCGAUAGCGCACAAGUAGAGUGAUCGAAAGAUGACAAAGCACUUUGAAAAGAGAGUUAAACAGCACGUGAAAUUGUUGAAAGGGAAGCGUUUGCGACACAGACUCGCUCGCGGGGUUCAGCCGGCAUUCGUGCCGGUGUACUUCCCCGUGGGCGGGCCAGCGUCGGUUUGGGCGGCCGGUCAAAGGCCUCCGGAAUGUAUCACCUCUCGGGGUGUCUUAUAGCCGGGGGUGCAAUGCGGCCUGCCUGGACCGAGGAACGCGCUUCGGCUCGGACGCUGGCGUAAUGGUCGUAAAUGACCCGUCUUGAAACACGGACCAAGGAGUCUAACAUCUACGCGAGUGUUCGGGUGUCACACCCGUACGCGCAGUGCACGCGAACGGAGGUGGGGAGCCCCCUCGUGGGGCGCACCAUCGACCGAUCCUGAUGUCUUCGGAUGGAUUUGAGUAAGAGCGUAAAUGUGGGGACCCGAAAGAUGGUGAACUAUGCCUGAAUAGGGCGAAGCCAGAGGAAACUCUGGUGGAGGCUCGCAGCGGUUCUGACGUGCAAAUCGAUCGUCGAAUUUGGGUAUAGGGGCGAAAGA